CCUACGGGUGGCAGCAGUGGGGGAUAUUGCACAAUGGGGGGAACCCUGAUGCAGCGACGCCGCGUGGGUGAAGAAGCGUCUCGGCGCGUAAAGCCCUGUUAGCAGGGAAGAAAAUGACGGUAGCUAAAGAAUAAGCCCCGGCUAACUACGUGCCAGCAGCCGCGGUAAUACGUAGGGGGCAAGCGUUACCCGGAUUCACUGGGCGUAAAGGGCGCGCAGGCGGGAUAGCAAGUCAGGUGUGAAAGCCUAGGGCGUAACCCCGGGACUGCUCUUGAAACUGCGUGGCUGGAGUAUGGGAGGGGCAGGCGGAAUUCCUGGUGUAGGGGUAAAAUGCGUAGAGAUCAGGAGGAAUACUGAUGGCGAAGGCGACCUGCUAGAACACAACUGACGUUGAGGCGCGAAAGCGUGGGGAGCAAACAGGAUCAGAUACCCUUGUAGUC
rnacentral:rRNA from 1 species